UACGGAGGGUGCGAGCGUUGUCCGGAAUCACUGGGCGUAAAGGGCGCGUAGGCGGCCUGAUAAGUAGGGGGUGAAAUCCUGCGGCUUAACCGCAGGGCUGCCCUCUAAACUGUCAGGCUCGAGCACAGUAGAGGCAGGUGGAAUUCCCGGUGUAGCGGUGGAAUGCGUAGAGAUGGGGGAGAACACUCGUGGCGAAGGCGGCCAGCUAGACCAGUUCUGACACUGAGGCGCGACAGCGUGGGGAGCAAACAGG
rnacentral:rRNA from 1 species